CAUCCGGAUGGACAACAGACUUACUUUCAGGAUUUCUAAUGUUACCUAUUAUUUAAUUAUUAUUAAGGAACCCUAAUAUUAUAAUAUUGUGGAAAAAGGUCUGUUUUAACUUCGUAAUCUUGCACUCAAAAGAAGAGAUUAAAUGUCAGUAUUAAAUAUAGAAGUUCACCUGAUUUUUGUGUCAAUAAUGAAAAAUUCAAGUGUCAGUUAAAAAUAUUAAAACAUAAAUAUAAAAAUGCAAUUUUAAUAGACAUGAGGUAGUAUUAGUUAAUAUCAUUCGACUUUCAUAAUAUGGAGGUAUAACUGUACCAAUGGCGCCACAUCCUCCGUGUACACCGACAGCAUCAUGUACCCCAAUAAGAUGUCAUCCAACUCCGCCACCUUGUCAAAAUCCGGAACGAUGUUUGAAAAGGACGACCUCAAAGGGCUUAAAGCCAUGUCGAAGCGCAGUUUCUAUUAUGGCUGCCAAGUCGAAGACAAAUUGCGGCAGUUGCGGCAAGUUUAAAUCUACCUCAUCUGACCCAAGAAAUGUAAAAGCCGUAGAUAAGUUUCUGAAACAGAAAUCCAAAGAGGCAAAAAUGAAAAAGCAAGAUAGAUUAACGGGAAGUCAUAGUUAUACAAAUUAUACUAAAAGACAAGGCUCACCAAGAGCAAAGGGCGAGUGUUGCCCUGGUAAAGGACAUAGAGGACGGCUGAAACGAGAGAAAAAAUGCUGUGAAAUACUUUAAGUCAAUAUCUAAAUUAUAUCUUUUAGAACCGUCAAUUCAUCAAAAAGUCUUAAACCUUGCAUAUCAGAACCGACAUGCAGUAUUCACAAGCAUAGACCUAGAUCUGCACCCUGUGCAGAACCUGACAAGUGCUACAAAAAAUGCAUCAAAACUAAAAGCAAAAAUAAAUGCCCCAGUGCAAUGGAUACAGUCAGUCGUUUGGGUUCGCCCUGUGAGUGCGCAAGGAUACAAUCUAAGGAUUCUCGUCUAAGUAACAAUAGAACCAAUAAAACUCAUAAGAAACGACUACGGAAAGUUUAUAAACAACGUUCAAUGGAAUCACGAUGGAAAAGACAAAAGAAAUGUUGUACAAUUAUUUAAAAAAAAAUAGGUAUUACACCUAUAUAUAAUAUAUAUUUCAU